rnacentral:tRNA from 1 species
GUUCUUGUAGUUGAAAUACAACGAUGGUUUUUCAUAUCAUUGGUCAUGGUCAAAUUCCAUGUAAGAAUU